CGCGAAUUCGCCCUUACGGCUACCUUGUUACGACUUCACCCCAGUUACCGGCUCCACCUUCGGCAGCUCCUUCCUUACGGUUGGGUCACUGACUUCGGGCAUUUCCGACUCCCAUGGUGUGACGGGCGGUGUGUACAAGACCCGGGAACGUAUUCACCGCGGCAUUCUGAUCCGCGAUUACUAGCGAUUCCAGCUUCAUGUAGUCGGGUUGCAGACUACAAUCCGAACUGGGACGUUAUUUUUGGGAUUUGCUUGGCGUCACCGCUUUGCUUCCCUUUGUUUACGCCAUUGUAGCACGUGUGUAGCCCUGAUCAUAAGGGGCACGAUGAUUUGACGUCAUCCCCGCCUUCCUCCCGGUUAUCCCGGGCAGUCUCUCCAGAGUGCCCAUCUUAAAUGCUGGCUACUGGAAAUAGGGGUUGCGCUCGUUGCGGGACUUAACCCAACAUCUCACGACACGAGCUGACGACAACCAUGCACCACCUGUCUCCGGUGU
rnacentral:rRNA from 1 species